CAGUCGCCGCGGGAAAACGUAGGGCGCAAGCGUUAUCCGGAAUUAUUGGGCGUAAAGAGCUCGUAGGCGGUUUGUCGCGUCUGCCGCGAAAGUCCGGGGCUCAACCCCGGAUCUGCGGUGGGUACGGGCAGACUAGAGUGAUGUAGGGGAGACUGGAAUUCCUGGUGUAGCGGUGAAAUGCGCAGAUAUCAGGAGGAACACCGAUGGCGAAGGCAGGUCUCUGGGCAUUAACUGACGCUGAGGAGCGAAAGCAUGGGGAGCGAACAGGAUUAGAUACCCCUGUAGUCCCUGUCUCUUAUAC
rnacentral:rRNA from 1 species